UACGAACGGUGCGAACGUUGCUCGGAAUCAUUGGGCUUAAAGGGCGCGUAGGCGGGCACGCAAGUCGGGGGUGAAAUCCCACAGCCCAACUGUGGAAGUGCCCCCGAUACUGCGGGGCUGGAGGAAGGUAGAGGCGUGUGGAACUCCCGGUGGAGCGGUGAAAUGCGUAGAUAUCGGGAGGAACGCCGGUGGCGAAAGCGACGCACUGGGCCUCUCCUGACGCUGAGGCGCGAAAGCCACGGGAGCAACCGGG
rnacentral:rRNA from 1 species